GAUGAAGAACGUAGCGAAAUGCGAUACUUGGUGUGAAUUGCAGAAUCCCGUGAACCAUCGAGUCUUUGAACGCAAGUUGCGCCCGAAGCCAUUAGGCCGAGGGCACGCCUGCCUGGGCGUCACACGUCGUUGCCCCCCCAUCUACUCCUUCGGGAUUGCGGGGGGCGGAUGAUGGCCUCUCGUGCGCCUCGUCGCGCGGUUGGCCUAAAUGCCAAGUCCUCGGCGACGCACGCCACGACAAUCGGGGGUUGCGAAACCUCGGUUGCCUGUCGUGUGCGGUCGUCGCGCAUCGAGGGCUCGAAAAAAUUGCCGGGCUUCGGCUCGACUUUCAACGCGACCCCAGGUCAGGCGGGGUUACCCGCUGAAUUUAAGCAUAUCAAUAAGCGGAGGA
rnacentral:misc_RNA from 1 species